CCUACGGGGCGCAGCAGUGGGGAAUAUUGGACAAUGGGCGAAAGCCUGAUCCAGCCAUGCCGCGUGUGUGAAGAAGGCCUUCGGGUUGUAAAGCACUUUCAGUGGGGAAGAAAGCCUUGGGGCUAAUACCCUCGAGGAAGGACAUCACCCACAGAAGAAGCACCGGCUAACUCCGUGCCAGCAGCCGCGGUAAUACGGAGGGUGCGAGCGUUAAUCGGAAUUACUGGGCGUAAAGCGCGCGUAGGCGGUCUGAUAAGCCGGUUGUGAAAGCCCCGGGCUCAACCUGGGAACGGCAUCCGGAACUGUCAGGCUAGAGUGCAGGAGAGGAAGGUAGAAUUCCCGGUGUAGCGGUGAAAUGCGUAGAGAUCGGGAGGAAUACCAGUGGCGAAGGCGGACUUCUGGACUGACACUGACGCUGAGGUGCGAAAGCGUGGGUAGCAAACAGGAUUAGAUACCCUUGUAGUC
rnacentral:rRNA from 1 species